rnacentral:rRNA from 1 species
GAUGAACGCUGGCGGCGUGCCUAAUACAUGCAAGUCGAGCGAACAGACGAGGAGCUUGCUCCUCGGACGUUAGCGGCGGACGGGUGAGUAACACGUGGAUAACCUACCUAUAAGACUGGUAACACUUCGGGAAACCGGCGCUAAUAGCGGAGAAUAUAUUGAACCGCGGGGGUGAAUAGUGAGAGACGGUGGUGCUGUCACUUAUAGCUGGAUACGCGCCGCAUUAGCUGGUUGGUAAGGUAACGGCUUACUAAGGCAACGAUGCGUAGCCGAACUGAGAGGGUGAUCGGCCACACUGGAACUGAGCCACGGUCCAGACUACUAAGGGAGGGAGCAGUAGGCAAUCGGACGCAGUGGGCGGAAGCCUGACGGAGCAACGGCGCGUGAGUGAUGAAGGCGCUCGGAUCGUAAAGCUCGGUUACGAGGGAAGAACCACUGUGGAAGUAACUAUGCCCGUCCUGACGGUACCUAGUCAGAAAGCCACGGCUAACUACGUG